rnacentral:misc_RNA from 1 species
UGAAAGUGAAGGUCCACUGGAGGCAAUUCCAUGUAGGUAUGAGGGCUGCAGCAAGGUUUUUUCAACAGCUUCAAAUCUCCAGCAACACAUGAAGGUUGUGCAUAUGGGACAAAAGCCGUUUGCAUGUUGUUUCCCUGGUUGUGGCAUGAGAUUUGGGUAUAAGCAUGUGAGAGACAACCAUGAGAAAAGUGGCCAGCAUGUUUACACUAAUGGGGAUUUUGAAGCAGCUGAUGAACAAUUCCGCUCAAAACCAAGGGGAGGGAGAAAAAGAAUCUGUCCAACUGUUGAAAUGCUCAUAAGGAAGAGGGUUACCCCCCCAAGUGAGUUUGAUUUCACG